UACAGAGGUCCCAAGCGUUGUUCGGAAUUACUGGGCGUAAAGGGCGCGUAGGCGGCCUUCUAAGUCAGACGUGAAAUCCCCGGGCUCAACCCGGGAACUGCGUCUGAUACUGGAGGGCUUGAAUCCGGGAGAGGGAUGUGGAAUUCCAGGUGUAGCGGUGAAAUGCGUAGAUAUCUGGAGGAACACCGGUGGCGAAGGCGGCAUCCUGGACCGGCAUUGACGCUGAGGCGCGAAAGCCAGGGGGAGCAAACGGG
rnacentral:rRNA from 1 species